UACGGAGGGUGCGAGCGUUGUCCGGAAUCACGGGGCGUAAAGGGCGCGUAGGCGGCUUCUCAAGCGUGUGGUGAAAGUCCGGGGCUCAACCCCGGAUCGGCCGUGCGGACUGGGGAGCUCGAGUUCUGUAGAGGCGGGUGGAAUUCCGGGUGUAGCGGUGGAAUGCGUAGAGAUCCGGAAGAACACCGGUGGCGAAGGCGGCCCGCUGGGCAGAGACUGACGCUGAGGCGCGACAGCGUGGGGAGCAAACAGG
rnacentral:rRNA from 1 species